UGUGAACUAGUGACGACCAACGCGAAGCGAGAUGAUUUAUACCAUUGAGAUCGUAUUUAAUUAAUAGAGGGUGCUAUGUCAUAUAAAACCUAAAAGUUCCAGAAUAGCGUGAAAAUGGCAACCAUAGUACGGAACGAUAUUCACGUAAUAAGGAAUUCAGCAUAAGGAAAGCCAACCAUCAGAUUUUUUGGUGUACGGAAAUAACAAAACAUGCCGAAAAAUUGCUGUGAUGUACAAUGAACAUGUAAUCAGGUCAAGAGUCCCGACCUACGGUUCGCAAUGCUCCCAAGUAGGGAAAUGGAGCCUGCGAGAAGAGCCUCGUUGCUUAAGUCUAUUCGGCGUGGGAGAUGUGGGGACCCGGUGUCCAAGAGAACAGGUUAGCUCCCUGCAUAAUCUAGACAAGAGAAUGGGGAAUAAGAUCUGGCUGUUGCAGUGCCCAGACUAGGUGAGAGCCAACUGCCACAGAGAUAAAGGAAUCUACAAAUUCUAUGUUGAACGAGCAACACAGAUGGAGGGGGAGGAAAACAGACCGCUCCUUUCUACAACACCUUCAAGUCAUACAAUGUUUGUUACAUCUGAAAUAAAUACAGAAUUAUUUUAGUUUAUUGUGUUUGUUUUUUAUGCUGGAUGUAAUUUAGGUUAUAGUAUAAUGUAUUGUUUUGAAACAUUUAUUAAAUAUAUAUUCAGUCAACUCAAUAAUUUUAUGUUCGCUAAAAUAAUGUAUGUUUUGUACUGUUACUUUUUACAUGCUGAAACAGUCUCAUUAGUUUUGAGCUAGAUUAUGAUUGGGGAAAUGUCUACUACCCUUUUUUAAAUGUUGAUGAAUGAAAUUAGCACCGUUACUAAUAGUUUGUUGCUACUGCACUGGUGAGGAAGUGGGCAAUAUGGAAUACAUUGGAGGAGGAUGGGAGAAUUAAUGAGAAAUCAGAACUUGGACAAUGUCAGGGAAUAAGUAGGUAAAUGUACAGCCUAUCAAUGACAAACGGUGCAGAGGUAGCCUUAAGAUAACAUUAGACAUGUGCAUGUUAUGUAUUGAACAGACGGCUAGCCCGCUUUUUUUCAAAACAUUGGAUUACCGACUUGAGCGGUGACGUCUCAGUUUGCACCGCAUUUUCACAUGGACGUAUAUAUACACUGAACAAAAAUAUAAAUGCAACAUGUAAAGUGUUGGUUUCAUGAGCUGAAAUAAAAGA